rnacentral:lncRNA from 1 species
UUGUAGACUACGAAAUUAAAUUCAACAUUUUUGAUCUGACUUUCCAGGCAGACGUGAUCUGACCCUACUCCAGCUAUACAAAUAUGUUUCCAUAGUCACCCAAACAGACUCUGUAGUCCAGGAAAGGUGGCCCUGUGGCUCUCAGCACCUGAUCAAUGAUCCCUUCACUCUUAACAUCACAAAACAGAGGUAUGAUACAAGUGGAUAUAAAAUCAUGUUGCUAGAAUUCUCC